UACAGAGGUCUCAAGCGUUGUUCGGAUUCAUUGGGCGUAAAGGGUGCGUAGGCGGCGCGGUAAGUCGGGUGUGAAAUCUCGGAGCUUAACUCCGAAACUGCAUUCGAUACUGCCGUGCUUGAGGACUGGAGAGGAGACUGGAAUUUACGGUGUAGCGGUGAAAUGCGUAGAUAUCGUAAGGAAGACCAGUGGCGAAGGCGGGUCUCUGGACAGUUCCUGACGGCUGGAGGCACGAAGGCCAGGGGAGCAAACGGG
rnacentral:rRNA from 1 species